rnacentral:misc_RNA from 1 species
AACCAUAGAAACCUGCGGAGUACCUGCGGAAGGAUCAUUACCGAGUUUACAACUCCCAAACCCAUGUGAACAUACCUAUCGUUGCUUCGGCGGAUCGCCCCGGGCGCCUUGCGUGCCCCGGAUCCAGGCGGCCGCCGGGGGACCUUAACUCUUGUUUUUAUUGAGAAUCUUCUGAGUCGUUUUUACAAAUAAAUAAAAACUUUCAACAAUGGAUCU